rnacentral:rRNA from 1 species
UUCUCUUGAGAGCGGCGGACGGGUGAGUAAUGCCUAGGAAUCUGCCUAGUGGUGGGGGAUAACGUUCGGAAACGGACGCUAAUACCGCAUACGUCCUACGGGAGAAAGCGGGGGAUCUUCGGACCUCGCGCCAUUAGAUGAGCCUAGGUCGGAUUAGCUAGUUGGUGAGGUAAUGGCUCACCAAGGCGACGAUCCGUAACUGGUCUGAGAGGAUGAUCAGUCACACUGGAACUGAGACACGGUCCAGACUCCUACGGGAGGCAGCAGUGGGGAAUAUUGGACAAUGGGCGAAAGCCUGAUCCAGCCAUGCCGCGUGUGUGAAGAAGGUCUUCGGAUUGUAAAGCACUUUAAGUUGGGAGGAAGGGUAGUAACUUAAUACGUUGCUACUUUGACGUUACCGACAGAAUAAGCACCGGCUAACUUCGUGCCAGCAGCCGCGGUAAUACGAAGGGUGCAAGCGUUAAUCGGAAUUACUGGGCGUAAAGCGCGCGUAGGUGGUUCAGUAAGUUGGAAGUGAAAUCCCCGGGCUCAACCUGGGAACUGCUUUCAAAACUGCUGAGCUAGAGUACGGUAGAGGGUGGUGGAAUUUCCUGUGUAGCGGUGAAAUGCGUAGAUAUAGGAAGGAACACCAGUGGCGAAGGCGACCACCUGGACUGAUACUGACACUGAGGUGCGAAAGCGUGGGGAGCAAACAGGAUUAGAUACCCUGGUAGUCCACGCCGUAAACGAUGUCAACUAGCCGUUGGAAUCCUUGAGAUUUUAGUGGCGCAGCUAACGCAUUAAGUUGACCGCCUG